rnacentral:rRNA from 2 species
GGGUUGUGAGGUUAAGCGACUAAGCGUACACGGUGGAUGCCCUGGCAGUCAGAGGCGAUGAAGGGCGUGCUAAUCUGCGAUAAGCGCCGGUAAGGUGAUAUGAACCGUUAUAACCGGCGAUACCCGAAUGGGGAAACCCAGUGUGACUCGUCACACUAUCAUUAACUGAAUCCAUAGGUUAAUGAGGCGAACCGGGGGAACUGAAACAUCUAAGUACCCCGAGGAAAAGAAAUCAACCGAGAUUCCCCCAGUAGCGGCGAGCGAACGGGGAGGAGCCCAGAGCCUGAAUCAGCAUGUGUGUUAGUGGAAGCGUCUGGAAAGGCGCGCGAUACAGGGUGACAGCCCCGUACACAAAAGCGCAUGUGCUGUGAGCUCGAUGAGUAGGGCGGGACACGUGGUAUCCUGUCUGAAUAUGGGGGGACCAUCCUCCAAGGCUAAAUACUCCUGACUGACCGAUAGUGAACCAGUACCGUGAGGGAAAGGCGAAAAGAACCCCGGCGAGGGGAGUGAAAAAGAACCUGAAACCGUGUACGUACAAGCAGUGGGAGCACCCUUUGGGUGUGACUGCGUACCUUUUGUAUAAUGGGUCAGCGACUUAUAUUCUGUAGCAAGGUUAACCGAAUAG